rnacentral:rRNA from 1 species
CGGCACGGGUGAGUAACACGUAUCCAACCUGCCGUCUACUCUUGGACAGCCUUCUGAAAGGAAGAUUAAUACAAGAUGGCAUCAUGAGUCCGCAUGUUCACAUGAUUAAAGGUGUUCCGGUAGACGAUGGGGAUGCGUUCCAUUAGAUAGUAGGCGGGGUAACGGCCCACCUAGUCUUCGAUGGAUAGGGGUUCUGAGAGGAAGGUCCCCACAUUGGAACUGAGACACGGUCCAA